UACGGAGGGUGCAAGCGUUAUCCGGAUUCACUGGGUUUAAAGGGUGCGUAGGCGGGCUUUUAAGUCAGUGGUGAAAUCUUGGGGCUCAACCCCGAAACUGCCAUUGAUACUAUUAGUCUUGAAUGUCCUGGAGGUCAGCGGAAUAUGUCAUGUAGCGGUGAAAUGCUUAGAUAUGACAUAGAACACCUAUUGCGAAGGCA
rnacentral:rRNA from 1 species